CGAAGGCAAGCGGAUCUCUUAAAGCUGUUCUCAGUUCGGACUGCAGUCUGCAACUCGACUGCACGAAGCUGGAAUCGCUAGUAAUCGCGGAUCAGCACGCCGCGGUGAAUACGUUCCCGGGCCUUGUACACACCGCCCGUCACACCAUGAGAGUCUGUAACACCCAAAGCCGGUGGGAUAACCUUUAUAGGAGUCAGCCGUCUAAGGUAGGACAGAUGAUUAGGGUGAAGUCGUAACAAGGUACC
rnacentral:rRNA from 1 species